rnacentral:rRNA from 1 species
GACGAACGCUGGCGGCGUGCCUAAUACAUGCAAGUCGACCUUCGAUGUGAUGGGUGAGUAACACGUGGAUAAUCUCCUAUAAGACUGGUAUAACUUCGGGAAACCGGAGCUAAACCGCAUACUUAUAGAUGGAUCCGCGCUGCAUAGACUAGUUGGUACGGUAACGGCUUACAAAGACAACGAUGCAUAGCCGACCUGGGAGGGGAAUCGGCCACACUGGAACUGAGACACGGUCCAGACUCCUGCGGGAGGCGGCAGUAGGGAAUUUUCCGCAAUGGGCGAAAGCCUGACGGAGCAACGCCGAGGGAGUGAUGAAGGUCUUCGGAUCGUAAAACUCUUUUAUUAGGGAAGCGGUACCUAAUCAGAAAGCCACGGCUAACUACGUGCCAGCAGCCGCGGUAAUUC